AACGAACGCUGGCGGCAGGCCUAACACAUGCAAGUCGAACGCCCCGCAAGGGGAGUGGCAGACGGGUGAGUAACACGUGGGAACCUACCUUGUGGUACGGAACAACCAAGGGAAACUUUGGCUAAUACCGUAUGAGCCCGAGAGGGGAAAGAUUUAUCGCCAUAAGAUGGGCCCGCGUCGGAUUAGCUAGUUGGUGGGGUACUGGCUCACCAAGGCGACGAUCAGUAGCUGGUCUGAGAGGAUGACCAGCCACACUGGGACUGAGACACGGCCCAGACUCCAACGGGAGGCAGCAGUGGGGAAUAUUGGACAAUGGGCGCAAGCCUGACCCAGCCAUGCCGCGUGUGUGAUGAAGGCCUUAGGGUUGUAAAGCACUUUCGCCGAUGAAGAUAAUGACGGUAGUCGGAGAAGAAGCCCCGGCUAACUUCGUGCCAGCAGCCGCCGUAACAC
rnacentral:rRNA from 1 species